GACGAACGCUGGCGGCGUGCCUAAUACAUGCAAGUAGAACGCUGAAGGAGGAGCUUGCUUCUCUGGAUGAGUUGCGAACGGGUGAGUAACGCGUAGGUAACCUGCAUGGUAGCGGGGGAUAACUAUUGGAAACGCUAGCUAAUAUCGCAUAAGAGUAGAUGUUGCAUGAUAUUUGCUUAAAAGGUGCAAUUGCAUCACUACCAGAUGGACUUGCGUUGUAUUAGUUAGUUGGUGAGGUAACGGCUCACCAAGGCAACGAUACAUAGCCGACCUGAGAGGGUGAUCGGCCACACUGGGACUGAGACACGGCCCAGACUCCUACGGGAGGCAGCAGUAGGGAAUCUUCGGCAAUGGACGGAAGUCUGACCGAGCAACGCCGCGGGAGUGAAGAAGGUUUUCGGAUCGUAAAGCUCUGUUGUAAGAGAAGAACGAGUGUGAGAGUGGAAAGUUCACACUGUGACGGUAUCUUACCAGAAAGGGACGGCUAACUACGUG
rnacentral:rRNA from 1 species